CCUACGGGAUGCAGCAGUGGGGAAUAUUGGGCAAUGGGCGCAAGUCUGACCCAGCAACGCCGCGUGAAGGAAGAAGGCUCUCGGGUUGUAAACUUCCUUUAAGAGGGAAGAGCAGAAGACGGUACCUCUUGAAUAAGCCACGGCUAACUACGUGCCAGCAGCCGAGGUAAUACGUAGGUGGCAAGCGUUGUCCGGAUUUACUGGGUGUAAAGGGCGUGCAGCCGGGAAGACAAGUCAGAUGUGAAAUCCCGCGGCUCAACCGCGGAACUGCAUUUGAAACUGUUUUUCUUGAGUACCGGAGAGGUCAUCGGAAUGCCUGGUGUAGCGGUGAAAUGCGUAGAUAUAAGGAAGAACACCGGUGGCGAAGGCGGAUGACUGGACGGCAACUGACGGUGAGGCGCGAAAGCGUGGGGAGCGAACAGGAUUAGAUACCCUUGUAGUC
rnacentral:rRNA from 1 species